rnacentral:rRNA from 1 species
GUUGAACGCUGGCGGCAUGCCUUACACAUGCAAGUCGAACGGCAGCGGACCUUCGGGUGCCGGCGAGUGGCGAACGGGUGAGUAAUAUAUCGGAACGUACCUUUCAGUGGGGGAUAACGUAGCGAAAGUUACGCUAAUACCGCAUAUUCUGUGAGCAGGAAAGCAGGGGAUCGCAAGACCUUGCGCUGAUUGAGCGGCCGAUAUCAGAUUAGCUAGUUGGUGAGGUAAAGGCUCACCAAGGCGACGAUCUGUAGCGGGUCUGAGAGGAUGAUCCGCCACACUGGAACUGAGACACGGUCCAGACUCCUACGGGAGGCAGCAGUGGGGAAUUUUGGACAAUGGGCGCAAGCCUGAUCCAGCCAUGCCGCGUGAGUGAAGAAGGCCUCGGUUGUAA